rnacentral:rRNA from 1 species
GAUGAACGCUGGCGGCGUGCCUAAUACAUGCAAGUCGAGCGAACAGAUGAGGAGCUUGCUCCUCUGACGUUAGCGGCGGACGGGUGAGUAACACGUGGAUAACCUACCUAUAAGACUGGGAUAACUUCGGGAAACCGGAGCUAAUACCGGAUAAUAUAUUGAACCGCAUGGUUCAAUAGUGAAAGACGGUUUUGCUGUCACUUAUAGAUGGAUCCGCGCCGCAUUAGCUAGUUGGUAAGGUAACGGCUUACCAAGGCAACGAUGCGUAGCCGACCUGAGAGGGUGAUCGGCCACACGGGAGCUGAGACACGGUCCAGACUCCUACGGGAGGCAGCAGUAGGGAAUCUUCCGCAAUGGGCGAAAGCCUGACGGAGCAACGCCGCGUGAGUGAUGAAGGUCUUCGGAUCGUAAAACUCUGUUAUUAGGGAAGAACAAAUGUGUAAGUAACUAUGCACGUCUUGACGGUACCUAAUCAGAAAGCCACGGCUAACUACGUG